GAGCAUCUCUGAACGCACAGUACGUCGAACUUUGAGGAAGAUGGGCUAAAGCAGCAGAAGACCACAUCGGGUGCUACUCCUUUCAGCUAAGAACAGGAAACUGAGACUACAAUUUGCACAAGCUCAUCAAAAUUGGACAAUAGGAGAUUGGAAAAACGUUGCCUGGUCUGAUGAGUCUUGAUUUCUGCUGCGACAGUCGGAUGGUUUAAACUGGAAC